CACCGGCCUCUGUCCCGGGCACAGUCUUCCCCAGCCGCACCUGCCUCACUGUCAGCCCCAGAGCCUGCCAGCCAGGCCCGAGUCCUCUCCAGCUCAGAGACCCCUGCCAGGACCCUGCCCUUCACCACAGGUGAGACCGGGAGGAGGGUGGCAGGUGGAGGGAGGGGCUCGGCUGCACGAGUCCAUGUGGGUGUCGUGGUGUCACUUGGGACGUUUUUAGAGGCCACAGAGCGCUUAGCCUUGUUAGGCCCACGUAGUACCCAUGGAGCACAUGGAACAGCUGGUUAUUGCAUUUGGCCGAUGAGGACCAAGGCUCACGAAAUCUAAGGUGACAAGCCUGUGGUCAAAUAGCAAGUGGUAGUCAAGCCAGGAUAAGAAUUCCAGUCUCCUGCCAAUACACUCAGCCCUUUUAAAAAAUGAUAUUUAUUACUGUUGCUCUGCUUGUAAAAAGAGCUCAGAAGUAUUUUAGACAUUUUGAAGAGUACAGAAAAACCUAAGAAAAAAAGGAAAAUCACCAACCAGUAUCCCACCACCCACAAGUAACCCCUCUGAAAUUCUGCUGUAUUUCAGUCCAGGCUUUGUUCUGGCCAUAUGUACAUGUACAGAUGCCAUGAACCCAUGAACUACGUUUUGUAUCCUGCUUUACUUAGUUAACAUAUUAUGAAUCCUUCUUGGCAUAAUUAGUCUUUAAAACUGAGAGUCUCAUAGUAUUUCAUUAUUGUAUUUCAUUUUUACUGAGGGAUUCCUUACCAGUUAGAUUAUAGCUUAUUUGAAUUUCCUUAUGCAUAAAUCUUUCCUCAUGCUUGGGAUUAUUUCCCAAGGUUCACUCUAAAGGAGUAGCAUUCCUGGGUCACAUGGUGUGAGCAUUUUGAGAGUCGUUGGUGUCCUAGACGCACAGAAAUUGACCCUCCCACCCGCAAUGAGCAGGACCCUCCUCUGAAGACUUCCCACGGGUCAGACUGAAAUAGUCACUUCUCCAAAGCUGGAUUUGUCUAUCACAUGGUCCAGUGUCAUCGUGGGCUUCUUAGCUCCCGGUUUGGGCGUUUCCUAGGAAUUCUUUUCCCUCCUGCUGCCCCUUGGUAGCCUCUCUGGGUUCAUGACACGCGUGUGAGACGCUGUACGUUAGGCCUCAUGCUUUGCUCUGAGCACUUGAGGGCCUUAUGCUGGGCCCUCGAGUGCUGGGCCACCCAGCAGUCGUGUCCGCAUGUGGGAAGGCCGUGCCUCUGUGGCAGCUGUGUUGGCUGGAUCUGUGUUGGUGUGUUGGCUGCUGCCACCUGGGGAAGUGUCUGGGCGUGUGUGGACAGGUGUGAGGGGCUGGGGCUGGGGCAGGGGGCAGGACGAAAUGCAGGCCUGUGUGGGUGUGAGGGGUGUGUGCCCGCCCGGCUCCAUGUGGGUGCCUGCUGUGGCGGUGCUGGCGUGUUCUCAGCAGCCAAGGCCAUGGGGCGUGAGGACUCCCUGGGUCCCCGCUCUGACCCUUGCUCCUGCAGGGCUGAUCUAUGACUCGGUCAUGCUGAAGCACCAGUGCUCCUGCGGUGACAACAGCAGGCACCCGGAGCACGCCGGCCGCAUCCAGAGCAUCUGGUCCCGGCUGCAGGAGCGGGGACUCCGGAGCCAGUGUGAGUGUCUCCGAGGCCGGAAGGCCUCCCUGGAAGAGCUGCAGUCGGUCCACUCUGAGCGGCACGUGCUCCUCUACGGCACCAACCCGCUCAGCCGCCUCAAACUGGACAACGGGAAGCUGGCAGGGCUCCUGGCACAGCGGAUGUUUGUGAUGCUGCCCUGUGGUGGGGUUGGGGUAAGUGUGCCCAGGGGUCUCAGGGGGGCGUUGCCAGGGCUCUCAGCUCUCCUCCCUGUGGUUCUCCCAGGCCCAGCCCCUGCAGAACCUCUGCUUGUUGUGGUUCUGCUAGACAGGGUGGGCCAGGGACUUCCUGAGGUGCCCCCUGCAGCAGGAAGCUCCUUUUGGACGGGCGUGUCUCGGACCCACAAUGUCCCCCGAAUGCGGAGCCCAGCCUAAGCCUCGCCCCUAGAAGGUGUCUGGUAGAUGUUGAGUGAGGUUUCAGGAGCAGGGCCAAGGCUGGGGCUUAGGAUCAUCUCUCCCUUCAAAGACCCCCAUGAUUAGGCAUUAGCCGCCAGGCUGCUCUGUCUGCUCUGAAGUGGCAAGUUGGGGUACCUCAGCCUGGUCCCCAGACCUUGGGCUGCCUGGUGUGACAUCACGGUGGUGCUUCCAGUGUCCUUGGCGAUCCCAGCACUCCCUACUCCGAGACACAGCCCCAAACUCCGCUCGCGAGCUUUGCUUCCUCAGUCCUCACCCCUUUGUGAAGGGAGCUUCCCGCUCCCUCUGGCUCAGCUCUUCUCGCCUAACACUAUCCCUGCAGUAGUUUCUCAAGCAAGGUGUGUAGAGGCAGGGGAUGGAGGCCUCAUUCCGGAGGGGAAGUGGGAGCUGUAGCUGGUGGGGGACUUUGGGAGCCAGUCAGUGCCCUAUUCACAACUUCCCAUUUCUUGCCACUUUCUGGUUUUUCCAACUGUUGUUGCUUCUGUUUUCUCCGCCCUCCUCUCCCUCUCUGUCUUUCUCUCUCUCUCUCUUUCUCCAGCCUCUUGCGACUCUCUCUGCCUUCCUCGCCUCUCUUGGUCUGCCUCGCCCUCCCCAUCUCCCCAUCAUGCCCCCCGGCCCCUCCCUAGCCUUGAGGCCCAGGGACUGGGUUUGGGGGGCCUCCCAGCCUGGGCUAGGGGCCCUGAGUGGAAGACAGUGGUGCAGACGGCCCCUCCAGCUCCGACCGUCCCGCAGGGCCUGAGCAGAGUCAGCUGGGGCUUAAAACCCCCUCCCGGCCCAAACCCCAAGUCCCGCCCAGGUAACGCCAUGCCCCCUCCCCUGACCGGGGAGGCAGGCGUGAUGCUGCCAGCAGAGUGCUGGCCAGAUAAUGGGCUGGUGCUGGGACUUAAGCUGGGAAAAAGUCAUGCUGGGAUUGGGGGACACAGGAGGCCUUGCCUUUGGGCGGUGGGGCACUGGGGAGGCAGCACUGUCUGCCCAGCUCCCUGCCCCUGGGGUCCUGGCCAUGGGGUGGGGACCACCCCCUUGGGCCCUGUCUCCUGUGUGAAGCCUUGGAUGAUGCGGGCCCUGACUCUGGCUCCCGCAGGUGGACACUGACACCAUCUGGAAUGAGCUGCAUUCCUCCAAUGCAGCCCGCUGGGCCGCUGGCAGUGUCACUGACCUCGCCUUCAAAGUGGCUUCUCGUGAGCUAAAGAAUGGUUUCGCUGUGGUGCGGCCCCCAGGACACCAUGCAGAUCAUUCAACAGCCAUGGGCUUCUGCUUCUUCAACUCAGUGGCCAUCGCCUGCCGGCAGCUGCAGCAGCAGAGCAAGGCCAGCAAGAUCCUCAUUGUAGACUGGGACGUGCACCAUGGCAACGGCACCCAGCAAACCUUCUACCAAGACCCCAGUGUGCUCUACAUCUCCCUGCAUCGCCAUGACGACGGCAACUUCUUCCCGGGGAGUGGGGCUGUGGAUGAGGUAGGGGCUGGCAGCGGUGAGGGCUUCAAUGUCAAUGUGGCCUGGGCUGGAGGUCUGGACCCCCCCAUGGGGGAUCCUGAGUACCUGGCUGCUUUCAGGAUUGUCGUGAUGCCCAUCGCCCGAGAGUUCUCUCCAGACCUAGUCCUGGUGUCUGCUGGAUUUGAUGCUGCUGAGGGUCACCCGGCCCCACUGGGUGGCUACCAUGUUUCUGCCAAAUGUUUUGGGUACAUGACGCAGCAACUGAUGAACCUGGCAGGAGGUGCAGUGGUGCUGGCCUUGGAGGGUGGCCAUGACCUCACAGCCAUCUGUGACGCCUCUGAGGCCUGUGUGGCUGCUCUUCUGGGUAACAAGGUGGAUCCCCUUUCAGAAGAAGGCUGGAAACAGAAACCCAACCUCAAUGCCAUCCGCUCUCUGGAGGCCGUAAUCCGGGUGCACAGUAAGUGUGGAGAUGGGACACUCGCUGAGCUCAGACUGAAGGAUCUUGGUGCUACCCUGCCCCACCGUGGCCAGAUCCUAGGGCUUCCGGUGCCAGCCAGGUGACCUGCUGUUGGUCUGGAGUAAGAUUCCUGUGAGUGACCCAGGCAGCAAUGGUGAACACCCCCCAGUGAGGGGGUAUCCUCUGAGCCCUCCUGAUGGAGCCAGCAGGGCCUACAAGACAGUGGCCCCUCAAGGUAGGGACUGGCCUCCAUCUCUAGCUACAGCCCUAGACCAGGGCCAGAUCAAGAGCAACACUCAGGCCUUGUUUGCCAAAAGGCCUGGUUCCCAUCCCUCCCCUCAGUCCUGGCCAUGGGGGUCUCAGGAGCUCUGCUGGCUUGGGGGCUGCAUCUUGGGAUAACCCCCACAUUUGUAAAGUACUUUAAAUUUUCAACUUCAACUCAACAUCUAUUGAGCAUCUUAUGUCAAGACCCAUAAUCUAUACUAGGGAUAAAAAUUAAUAAAAUAGAUUCCCAUAUCAAGGGCUGGGUAGGGGAGCCGUGAUGUCUUUACAUAAUGGUAAAGACAUGGCUGAUUCCUCUUACGGUGGGUGCCCUCACACUGAGCCAGGUUCCAGGACAUGGUUCCUCACAGCAGCAGGCAGGAGGAACAUUCUCCUGGCCUGGGCACCCAUGCAGAGGGGCCGUGGUGAUGGUCAGCUCUCCCACGUUGUGUUCGUCCCACCUCCCAGGCCCUCUUUUCCUGAGUGCUGGGCUGAGCACUGGUGGGGUCUGUGUUUAAAUGGGAGGCCCGAGCUUGGGGCUCUGGGAGGUCACUGUGACACAGACCCUGUCUGCAGGCAAGCAGGCUCUCUUGAUGCUCUCAGGAGCCCUGUACCUGUGGGGAAUGAGUCAAAGGUGGCCUUGCAGCCACAGGGGAUGAGAGAAAGGCUGGGCACCUGCUAGGACUCCCUCGCAGCCAUGUUGAACCCACUCUGCUUACCCUGUCAGGCUGUGCGGGAGGGGGAGCGAAGUGAGGAGAGGGGCAGGUGGGAGAGCCGACCCCAAGUGGAGGACAGGCCCGCUACUCCGGGGCCCUGGGCCUGAGACACCAACCUCAAUAUCCGGUCUAGGACACAGUGUGGAGGGGCUUGCUUUCUCCAACCCUUUCUGACCUGGCAUCUUACCCCAGGUAAAUACUGGGGCUGCAUGCAGCGCCUGGCCUCCUGUCCAGACUCCUGGGUGCCUAGAGUGCCAGGGGCUGACAAAGAAGAAGUGGAGGCAGUGACCGCACUGGCAUCCCUCUCUGUGGGCAUCCUGGCUGAAGAUAGGCCGUCGGAGCAGCUGGUGGAGGAGGAAGAACCUAUGAAUCUCUAAGGCUCUGGAACCAUCUGCCCGCCCACCAUGCCCUUGGGACCUGGUUCUCUUCUAACCCCUGGCAAUAGCCCCCAUUCCUGGCUCUUUAGAGAUCCUGUGGGCAGGUAGUUGGAACCAGAGAACAGCCUGCCUGCCUUGACAGUUAUCCCAGGGAGCCUGAGAAAAUCCCUGGGUCUAGAAUGGGGACUGGAGAGGACCCUGAGAGGAGACGGGCUGGGCGGCGACCCCCACAGGGUUCUCGAGAACAGAUUCUCCCCUCUGGUAUGGGCCCUGGCUGUGGCCCCCAUUCCUCAGGACUGCACAGAGGAGGACUGGCUCCGGCUCCGUCGGGCUCACCCUUAACCACUAUUCCUGGCUCUGCAAACCCCAGACUUUGCACACAGCCCCAGGCUCCACACAGAAAUGUGAACUUGGCCUCAGACAGGCUGGCCCUUCCUAGGCUCUAGGGGCUGGGGGAGAGUGGGGAGCCAAGAGGUCCCAUAUUCCUGAGUGCAGGGGGAGUCCCUCUCACCUGCUUCCUCAGAUGACCCUGGAAGCUUCCCCCUACCACCAGGCACUGAGACGAAGCUCCCAGACAGCCGAGACUGGCAGCCCUCCAUCUGGUCCAUACCCUCGCCAGAGGCCCCCCUACAUCAACCUCCUGGCGAUGCCCUGGUGGAGCAGAUGGGUGCUCUGGGAGUCCUGUGCUUCCUGAUCCAAUGGUGCCAAACCCUUCAUCUCCCCCAGAAGCACAGCAUACCCCUGGGACCCCUCGGCCACUGCCCACUCGGGGGAGCCUUCUCUGUUUCUGGGGCCUCCCCCACCACAGCUCUGAUUCCCACCCCACAUAGGAAUAGCCUGGCUGAGGGGGAAGGGGUGGGAGAGAAGAUACAGACAUGGAGGAGGGGAGGCUGCUCUGGCAAAGUCUUCAAGGCUUUUGGAGGUCCAGGCCUGGGGUCAAGAAGGAAAAUGUGUGUGAGCAUGUGUGUGAAUGAGGCGUGUGUGUGAGCGUGUGUGAGUGAGGCGUGUGUGUGUGUCUUUCCUAGGACCCACCAUACCCUGUGUAUGUAUGCAUGUUUUUGUAAAAAGGAACAAAAUGGAAAAAAAUCUGAACAAUAAAUGUUUUAUUUGCUUU
rnacentral:sRNA from 1 species